rnacentral:rRNA from 1 species
UGGGGAAUAUUGCACAAUGGGCGCAAGCCUGAUGCAGCCAUGCCGCGUGUAUGAAGAAGGCCUUCGGGUUGUAAAGUACUUUCAGCGAGGAGGAAGGCGGUAAGGUUAAUAACCUUAUCGAUUGACGUUACUCGCAGAAGAAGCACCGGCUAACUCCGUGCCAGCAGCCGCGGUAAUACGGGGGGUGCAAGCGUUAAUCGGACUUACUGGGCGUAAAGCGCACGCAGGCGGUCUGUCAAGUCGGAUGUGAAAUCCCCGGGCUCAACCUGGGAACUGCAUUCGAAACUGGCAGGCUAGAGUCUUGUAGAGGGGGGUAGAAUUCCAGGUGUAGCGGUGAAAUGCGUAGAGAUCUGGAGGAAUACCGGUGGCGAAGGCGGCCCCCUGGACAAAGACUGACGCUCAGGUGCGAAAGCGUGGGGAGCAAACA